rnacentral:lncRNA from 1 species
UUUUUUUUUUUUUUUUUUUUUUUUGGUAACUGUGUCUUGUUCUUCCCAAGACCAUUUUUUUUUCUCAACUCCUGCCCCUUCCCACAUUCCUACCACUGAAUUCAAAUCCUGACUUUGCCAAUGACAAGGAGUGUAACUUUGAGUAGAUUGCUCAACCUCUAGUCAUGACAGAGUUUCCUCAUUUGUAAGACAGUAGAAAUACUUACCUUAAAGGGCUGUUAGAAUUAAAUGAAGUAAUAUAUGUCAAACAGAACAGCACCUGUAUAUAAUACAUGCUAUGCAAGUAUUUGCUAUUAUCAUUUUGAACACAGACUCUGUGCUACAUAGACUAGCAAAGACUUCUAUGACGGUAGGGCUUAUGGUGGCCUUGUUUAUUUUGAUUUGCUCAAUGACUAGCACAGUGCCUUGCAUUAAAUAGUUGUACAUUAAAUAUUUGUAGCAGGAAUACAGAAUGAGUGAAUGAAUGGUCACCAUUCAUUAAAUAUCAUCAUAAUGGAUAAUAGCAGAAAAGAUACCUAACCCUUAUUAAGAAAUUUCCAUAAACCUCCUGUCCUUAUCUGAAAAAUGAGGGAAAUAAUAGCUUCUUUACAGGACUGUUAUGAGAUUUCAGUGACAAUAAAGUAUGUAAACUACUAUACCAGUGCCCAGCACACUAAGCUCAACAAUCACGGGCUUUUCUCUCUGGACUCAAAAGUUAGUAGGUCUAACUCUUUCCCUGGGUUCCAAUAUUAGGUUCUCAGUUUGGCGUCCUUGGCUGUCCCCUUUAUUAUGGCAUUUGUGACAAGAUGAUCUGUCUUCUCAACCUCCUAUUGUUGUUAUAAAAUCUCUGUGAAAGGCAGCAGCCUCCUCUGCCUUCCAUAUUAACCAGCACUUUCCCUGUCCAGAAGUUAUUCCAUCUUACGGAUAUUGAGAAGAUAAAUGGAAGUGAUUAGAAUGUACUUUCCAAACAUAAAACAUUGUACUGUAGGAGUUUGUCAAAGGGGAUUAAUAUUACCACAUAUCUGUAGAAGAACUUUAUGAAGACCCUGUGUAUCUCUCAACCUUAAUGACUAAGAUUGUAGAUAUGAUAGAAAUCUGUAAAUAGCAUGGAAAAGCAAAUUUAUUGAAGUCUAGGACAACUGCAUUACCCAGCUGUACAUAGUGUGUUCUUUCUUCAGAGAUUGCAAUAAAUGAAAAAGAUGGUUGCCAUAGAGAUAAACUGUGCCCUUUGGCUAGCUGAUUAGAAGACCAUUUCAACCUACUAUAAGAGAAUAUAUUUUGCCUGUAAGUGGUAUUUACAGAUAAUUUCUAUCACAGUUGUAACCCAAGUUUUUAAAGCUGAAAUGUUAAACCUAUAAAUGUUGAAUUCCAUAAAGGCUUUUGUUCCUUUAGUAAAACUUAUUUUAACAUU